rnacentral:lncRNA from 1 species
GGGGAAAAUCUGGGAGAGAAUUCCAGGGGAAAAUGGGAAAUAUCUGGGGGAGGAUUCCAGGGAAGAAUGGGAAAAAAUGGGAGAGGAUUCCAGGGAAAAAGGGGAAAAUCUGGGAGAGAAUUCCAGAGGAAAAUGGGAGAGGAUUCCAGGGGAAAUGGGAAAAAUAUGGGGGAAAAAUCAGUGGGAAUGGGAAAAAAUCCGGGGGAAAUGGGGAAAAAUCUGGGAGAGAAUUCCAGGGAAAAAUGGGGGAAAAUCCAGGGAAAAAUGGGGAAAAAUCCAGGGAAAAAUGGGGAAAAAUCCAGGGAAAAGGGGGAAAAAUCUGGGAGGGAAUUCCAGGGAAAACUGGGAAAAAAUGGGAGAGGAUUCCAGGGGAAAUGGGGAAAAAUCCGGGGGAAAUGGGGGAAAAUCUGGGAGAGAAUUCCAGGGAAAAGGGGGAAAAAUGGGGGAAAAUCCAGGGGAAAUGGGGAUUUCCCUGGAUUUUCCCCAUUUUUCCCAUCCCCCAUUUUUUUCCCCCAUUUUUUUUCCCAUUUUUCCCAUCGCCCAUUUUUUCCCCUGGAUUCCCAUCCCCCAUUUUUUCCUGGAUCCUCAUUCCCAAUUUUUUCCCCUGGAUCCCUCAUUCCCGAUUUUUUCCCUGGAUCCUCAUUCCCGAUUUUUCCCCAUUUUUCCCAUCCCCCAUUUUUUCCCUGGAUUCCCAUCCCCCAUUUUUUCCCCUGGAUCCCUCAUUCCCGAUUUUUUCCCCUGAAUUCCUCAUUCCCGAUUUUUUCCCUGGAUUCCCAUCCCCCAUUUUUCCCAUUCCCCAUUUUUCCCCUGGAUCCUCAUUCCCGAUUUUUCCCCUGGAUUCCCAUCCCCCAUUUUUCCCUGGAUUCCCAUCCCCCAUUUUUCCCCCAUUUUUCCCAUCCCCCAAUUUUCCCCCUGGAUCCUCAUUCCCGAUUUUUCCCAUUCCCAAUUUUUCCCCUGGAUUCCCCAUUCCCGAUUUUUUCCCCUGAAUUCCCAUUCCCGAUUUUUCCCAUCCCCCAUUUUUCCCAUCCCCCAUUUUUCCCCUGGAUCCUCAUUCCCCAUUUUUCCCAUUCCUGAUUUUUCCCAUCCCCGAUUUUUCCCAUCCCCGAUUUUUCCCAUUCCCGAUUUUUCCUCUGGAAUUCUCAUUCCCGAUUUUUCCCCGCAGCCAACUAUUCCCUGCCGGAGAAGAGCGAGUACGUGGACGAGGUUUUGUUCGGGGAGCUGGGCCGGGACGAGGCGGCGCCGCUGGUGCUGCGCUGGAAGGAGGAGGCGCGGAAGCUGCUCCCGCCCUCGGAAAAACGCGGCAACCGCCGCAACAACCGCAACAAACGCAACAGGCAGAACCGCAACCGCGG